rnacentral:rRNA from 1 species
AGUCGAGCGAGGCGGAGGGGGCAACUCCUCUAGCCGAGCGGCGGACGGGUGAGUAACACGUGGGUAACCUGCCCGGAAGUGGGGAAUACCUCGGGGAAACUCGAGCUAAUGCCGCAUAAAAUCUCCGGGACGAAAGUCCUGGCGAUCAAAGCGGGGUCGCAAGAUCUCGCGCUACCGGAUGGGCCCGCGCCCGAUUAGCUAGUUGGUGAGGUAAUGGCUCACCAAGGCAACGAUCGGUAGCCGGCCUGAGAGGGUGAUCGGCCACACCGGAACUGAGACACGGUCCGGACUCCUACGGGAGGCAGCAGUGGGGAAUCUUGCGCAAUGGGCGAAAGCCUGACGCAGCAACGCCGCGUGGAGGAUGAAGGCCCUUGGGUUGUAAACUCCUGUCGGCUGGGAAGAACUCGUACGAUGCUCAUACCAUCGUGCGUUGACUGUACCAGCAAAGGAAGCCCCGGCUAACUCUGUGCCAGCAGCCGCGGUAAUACAGAGGGGGCUAGCGUUAUUCGGAAUUAUUGGGCGUAAAGGGCGCGUAGGCGGCCUUGCGUGUCUUUCGUGAAAUCCCUCGGCUUAACUGAGGACGUGCGGAAGAAACUGCAGGGCUUGAGUCCGGGAGAGGGGGGUGGAAUUCCCAGUGUAGCGGUGAAAUGCGUAGAUAUUGGGAGGAACACCGGUGGCGAAGGCGG